rnacentral:rRNA from 1 species
AUUGAACGCUGGCGGCAGGCCUAACACAUGCAAGUCGAGCGAGCGGCGGACGGGUGAGUAAUGUCUGGGAAACUGCCUGAUGGAGGGGGAUAACUACUGGAAACGGUAGCUAAUACCGCAUACCAUCAGAUGUGCCCAGAUGGGAUUAGCUAGUAGGUGGGGUAACGGCUCACCUAGGCGACGAUCCCUAGCUGGUCUGAGAGGAUGACCAGCCACACUGGAACGGAGACCCGGUCCAGCCUCCUACGGGGGGCAGGAUGGGGGAAUAUUGCACAAUGGGCGCAAGCCUGAUGCAGCCCUGCCGCGUGUGUUAAGCAGGCCUUCGUGUUGUAAAGCACUUUCAGCGGGGAGGCGUUACCCGCAGAAGAAGCACCGGCUAACUCCGUGCCAGCCGCCGCGGUAAUAC